UACGUAGGGUGCGAGCGUUAAUCGGAGUUACUGGGCGUAAAGCGUGCGCAGGCGGUGCGCCAAGCUCGAUGUGAAAGCCCCGGGCUUAACCUGGGAAUUGCAUUGAGGACUGGCGUGCUCGAGUGCGGCAGAGGGGGGUGGAAUUCCACGUGUAGCAGUGAAAUGCGUAGAGAUGUGGAGGAACACCGAUGGCGAAGGCAGCCCCCUGGGCCGACACUGACGCUCAUGCACGAAAGCGUGGGGAGCAAACAGG
rnacentral:rRNA from 1 species